AUGCACCAGGAGCCCGAUGUGGGAUUCGAUCCCGGGUCUCCAGGAUCACGCCCUGGGCCAAAGGCAGGCGCUAAACCGCUGCACCACCCACGGAUCCCAAAGAUGACUAUUUUAAAGGAGAGGCGAGGACUGCUUCUCCCAAACCAGGUACAGCCAAGAAGAAGACUCCCAAGAAAGGCAGCCAGACCAAAAACCAAGAGGCAAGAAAUCAAAAGGAAACCAGGCUGUUUUAAGGUUCUACAUCCUUGUCCAUCUCAGAUUGCCUGCUCGUUUCCCUUUGGAGUCAUGUUUCCCUUCAAAACUAAAGACAACUGAGAGUCAGUUCAAGAUGAUCACUGUGGUUGCUGGCUUCCUGCCUUUUCCUGCCUCACUUCUCCACUACUCUGAGAUUGCUUUCUGCACCUUUCAAAAAAAACCCUUGCACUUGAAUUCUUCCUCGCACAAGAUAACUUGGAAUCUACUUUCAAGACAGCAAAAAGAUGAUCUGGGGGAUUCCUUCCAUAUUGACUCUUUGGAGCUAUCUCAACAUUAUUGAAUGUAAAUAUCUUUCAUUUUCAUCAUUUUUUGGAAAAGCUUCAGUUGCUCUAUGUCUAAUAGUAUGCAAGUCAUUGCAUCGCCUAGGGGAAGCUCCAUAUGAUUUCUGUCCUUACUUCCAUGUAGAUACUUGGAUACUCAAUUUUCAUGGAAGUAAAUGGAAUUCUGAUUUCUUUGGCAGACAUGUGUAUUCACUGUUUAUAUUGAGAUUUCCAUGGAUCCUAGCAUGCAUUUCCUCAGCUCCUGCCCAUGAGAGAGAAGACUAAAUCACUGGCAAGUAAUAAUGUUCUAUGAAUUGUGCUUUUCUUUCUCACAGUCAGCCUCUCAGUGGUAAGCUAGUUUUUGAGAGCAAGUUGGACUAUUUUUGAAGCCACAUAAACUAUUUUAGGUGACAAGAGGACCAUUUGGUGCACUGAAGUAGUAAUUUGCUAGUGGCCUAAAAGAAUUAAUGAAGCUUUCAAAGGCAUAUGACAGACUAAAAAGGAUUAUGCACCCAAAAAAUUGUUUUAAUGUAAAUGAAAACAUAACUAAAAAGACAUAUGGUCUGUUCAGAGGAUGCAAAUUAGAAAAAAAAAAUUUCCAAUGGAUAAGAAGAGACUUGGGAAGAAUGAAAACACAGAAAACAAAUUUAUAAAGAUAAGCAGAAUUUUUAUAUAAUUUAUAUAACAUGAUAUGAUGUAGUAUGAUAUAUGAUAUAAUAUAACCUUUAAUGCCAUACAUAAUAAGUCCACAUAAAGUCAUUGACAUGUGGCAGGAAAUGAGUGUGGCAUAAAUCAUUUAAAGCUGGUAUAAAGUUUUCAUGAAAUUUACAUUACAAAUUUCAGAAGUCAUAAUGGAAAACUGCCAUUUUUAAUACCAUAUAGACAUAUAGCUAUGUAAUAUAGAGCUCAAGUAUCGCAUAUACAAUUAUAAAUGUAAAAAGGGAUUUUUUUCUAAAUGAAUGAAUUAGCCUUAUCGAUAGACAAGUUAAUAUUAUUUGAAAGUUGUCAAAAUGAAUAAAAAGGGAUAUACUUUAUAGAGAUACCA
rnacentral:lncRNA from 12 species